GAAACCGGGAGCCGAAGGCAAACCCCCGGAAGCGAGACGAAAACCCCAGUCGCUCUCCCGCACUCCCACGACCUCCACAUCGUCGCCUCCGCCGGCGUCCAGCGAGUCCAGAUCGAGCGAUCGGUCCGUCCGACCCGCGGACCCGCGCGCUCCGCAGAUGAGGUGAUUCUGGAGAUGAUAGUGCAAAUCUAGCAGAAAACUGGAUUAGGAUUAAGGGGAAUGGACAAGCCACCAGAGCUGUCUCCGGGCUCUGUUCAUCUUGAUAUUGCCUCUGCUUUCUAUGCUGGCAACCCAGAGAUUGCUACCACAGCAGCAGCACUCUCCCAGGCACUUGGGCCAGCACAAACGCUUCCCCGCAUUAAGCCCUCAUCGCAGAGCCUGCAGUCUCUGCUGAUGCUGUGGCCUCCGGUGAUAUGGCCUACACCAGCUGCUGUGAAGCACCCUAUGCCACCACCUCCUCUCCCUCCAGCUAAGAAGCUGCAGGUGCUGCAAAUUUCAUCUGUACUGACACCAGCUUUGCCAGAUAUGGAGGCUUUGCCAGUUGUAAAGUUGCCACUGCCAAAGCUGCCAGUGCAUCGCUCAUUGCCAAAGUUGCAGGUGCAUCGGCCGUUACCAAAGCUGGAGAUGCGUAAACCGUUGCAACAGACAUCCUUAGUGCUGGAGCAAGAGUCACUGAAACAGGAGAUGCUGGUAAUGCUGCUAACAUCUGCAACCUCCAUCAACAUGAUGCUGAAUUCGCAAAAUCGAUGGACUGAAACAUUGUCUGGAUCAAAAGAUAAGACACCAGCAAGUAUAAAAAACUGCAAGUGCAGGAACUCAAAAUGUCUGAAGCUGUAUUGUGGCUGUUUUGCAACCGGAAGAUACUGCAAAGAUUGCAACUGCACAAACUGUUCUAACAAUGGUAGUCAUGAGAAUGCAAGAGCAAGACAGGAUGCAAUCAAUGCUGUACUGGAAUGUAGAACUGCGGCCUUUAUGCCAAAAGCUGGGAGCAGGUCAUGUGCAAUGCAAAGUUCUGAGACACUUUUGUCUUUCCCCUCUUCUGUAGAUGAUGAUAAGGGUCUUGUUUCAGAAAGAAAUACUCAUGGCCACUCUGAAUUAGGACCUCAUGAAGUUACUUACAGGGCAGUUUUGGCGGACAUUGUCCAGGUGGAGGAUGUAAAUGAACUCUGUAAACUUUUGAUUCUAGCAUCAAGACAAGCUGCCGAAGCAUUUCUGGUCCAACUAACGCAGCUGGGCUUAUUCUUAGUUCCAAGUGUUACAUGAGGACUCUCAGUUUAUUGACUUCCGAGUAAUUGCGACCAUCAUUUUACAAAUUCAGGUAUUAUGGAGAACACCAGCACAGAAAAGUUGGACCGAGCAGAGAGUUGCCUGUCCUCCACAAACAAUGACAGAGAAGCAGUUCAGAAAGAACCAGAUAUACAUGCAUGUUUACCAGAAAGCAGUUCUUAUGAACGGCACGAUACCAAAAAGCCCGUGUCUCCUGGAUCCCAGAACUUGCCAGACAUUUUCAGAGCAAGAGAAGUGUGUACUGACAAAUUUCCAUGACUAUCUCUGUAAGCCUGCAUACUGUGGCGGAGUGCAAGGAGACCAAGCGCCACCAACAAACUUCCAAUGAAUGAAUCGACGAUCCCUCCAUUCUUCUGCAAGUAUCAAUGAGCUUGACUUUCCAUUCUAUGUAUAUGUCUUGGAAAGGUCCCAAAAUUGAACAGCACGGUCGACCAAGCAUUACAUUUCCUGACUGAGAAAUAGCUUCAAUAGGCGGCGACCAAGUAUUAACCCGAGAGUACCAUUUUUUCUAGCAGAAUUCGAUCCAUGAAUCUGAUCUGUACAAAUAGCGCUCGUUUCAGAAGAAUCUGAUACGCGCUAAAGGAUUCCUAGCAGCAUGGUAGAUGCUAGCAACAUCGUUUCUUAGUCAGGUACAUUAUUGAGCUCUGCCUCUGUAAUGUAAAUAUGCAUAGUCAUGCGUGGAUCUGUUCUCUGGAUCUGAAGCCACUGUAAUCAUAUUGCCUGGUUGCCCUACCCAUAAUCCAUGGAACAUCGAUAACACUAAGAAGUAAGAACCCCGGGUAGAAUUCUCUUGUGGGGACAA